rnacentral:misc_RNA from 1 species
GGAAGGAUCAUUAUUGAAUGUUAGUACUAUGUAUGUACUAUAGCACCGUUUUUUGUCCCAACUUGUGGUUAUGGAUGGCAUCAUCUGAAAUUGACUGAAAACUGUUGAUAUAAAUAAAAUACAACUUUCAACAACGGAUCUCUUGGCUCUCAUAUCGAUGAAGAACGUAGCAAAUUGCGAAAAGUAAUGUGAAUUGCAGAAUUCAGUGAAUCAUCGAAUCUUUGAACGCAUCUUGCACUCUCUGGUAUUCCGGAGAGUAUGUCUGUUUGAGCAUCCUAUACGUCCCAUCAAAGAUCUAAUCUUUGGACGAUGAGUGCUAUUUGUCUAUACAAAUUCACUUGAAAUGCAUAGUUCUGCCUGUGCUGGCGCGGCCCCGGAAACGGUGGUUGAGGCCGGCCGGGUCGGUGCGAGUCCACUUGGCUCGUGUGGGGGGAUGAACAUAGCCGUUCUCCUGCCCGUCCGCACUGAUGGCAAGCGUUUGUAGACUGGUCAAGUCCAUUGUUCACUCAAUGAUUGUCGGUUUGCACGUGCGUGCCGGACGGUGAGGGGCUGGUAGCUUGUAGAAUGGGCUCACUGGAGUGUCCCCGGCCCAGCAAUGGGCGACCAUGCGUGUGAAGACGCAUCGAGCCGGCUGUCGCAACCAACAGAUUCGCUGGUGCCCAGCACGGAAUGCGUGCAGAGUAAUCUAGCGUGUGUCGGCGGAGCAAUCUCGCACCCCGAGUGUCCAUUCAAUGUUAUGGAUCUCAAAUCAGACAAGACUACCCGCUGAAUUUAAGCAUAUAACUAAGCGGAGGAAAAGAAACUAACUAGGAUUCCUUCAGUAACGGCGAGUGAAGCAGGAAUAGCUCAACAUUGAAAUCUGUCUUGGGUAAUACCAGGACUGAAUUGUAGUUUCAAGAAGCAUGGUGGAUGGCAGGCUUGCUGGGUACAAAUCUCUUGGAACAGAGUAUCAUAGAGGGUGAGAAUCCCGUCCAUGACCCAGUGUGUCUGUCCUUGUCGCCGGCUUUCAAAGAGUCAGGUUGUUUGGGAUUGCAGCCUAAAAUGGGUGGUAAAUUUCAUCUAAAGCUAAAUAACGAUGAGAGACCGAUAGCGAACAAGUACCGUGAGGGAAAGAUGAAAAGUACUCUGAAAAGAGAGUUAAAAGUACGUGAAAUUGUUGAAAGGGAAACACUUGGAACUAGUCCAGGCUGGCAGUGAGUCAGCCGGCUGUUGUGCUUGCGCGGUAGAUCUGGAUCAAGUAAUUGACUAGGCCUGUUGCUGGAGCACGACCGCCGGUGCACCUUACUGCAGGCGAGUCAACAUCAGUCUGGCAGAGGGGAAAAAGGCAGUUGCAAGUUCUGCAAGCGGUCUAGGCCGCUUGCAGAACUGGCUGCUCAUACCUUCCGCUAGACUGAGGAGUGCACUAGUCGGUUUGUCAGUUGGCGAGUGUUGCGUCCGCGGGGUCGGAACAGUUUAACUGGUCUGGCUGUGCGGGCGUUCCACGCGCUGCUUACCAUAUAGCGGCAUAGUACGGAUGUUGACGUAAUGGUUUCAAAUGACCCGUCUUGAAACACGGACCAAGGAGUCUAACAUGGAUGCAAGUAUUUGGGUGGACUAAACCCAUAUGCGCAAUGAAAGUGAACGUGUGGGAUUUCCGUGGCAACAUGGAAUGCACCAUUGACCGAUCUUGUCUAGCCUCGGCUUGAUAGAUUUGAGUAAGAGCAUGCAUGCUGGGACCCGAAAGAUGGUGAACUAUGCCUGAAUAGGGUGAAGUCAGACGAAAGUCUGAUGGAGGCUCGUAGCGAUUCUGACGUGCAAAUCGAUCGUCAAAUUUGGGUAUAGGGGCGAAAGACUAAUCGAACCAUCUAGUAGCUGGUUCCUGC